UGUGUACACAUCUCAGAGCUUCCUUCAACUUAUUAUUAUAAAAUAAGUUUACUUUCAAAUCCACCUUAAGUUAAUUUUUCAUUUUCCUUCCGUUUAAUUUUUAAUUAAUGUAACCCAUCACCACCUUUUCAUAAGCUGCACCUUGACCUGAAGUCAGUAAAAUAGUUAUUUUAGAUGAUAUCUUCUUAGAAUCAUCUGACAACGGCGGUAUACAGACUAAAUUAGAAAAGGUAAGGUAAAACGUGGACUAUCGAUUAAGGGACAGGUUCCUCUGAUAAGAAUGAGAUGCCGUCAAAUUCUUUGGGUUUGAAGAUUGUCUUUUACUACCCU
rnacentral:rRNA from 1 species